rnacentral:rRNA from 1 species
UACGGGGGGGGCAAGCGUUGUUCGGAAUUACUGGGCGUAAAGGGUUCGUAGGUGGCCAACUAAGUCAGACGUGAAAUCCCUCAGCUUAACUGGGGAACUGCGUGUGAUACUGGAUGGCUUGGAUUUGGGAGAGGGAUGCGGAAUUCCAGGUGUAGCGGUGAAAUGCGUAGAUAUCUGGAGGAACACCGGUGGCGAAGGCGGCAUCCUGGACCAAUAUUGACGCUGAGGAGCGAAAGCCAGGGGAGCAAACGGG